GUGCCAGCCGCCGCGGUAAUACGUAGGUGGCAAGCGUUGUCCGGAUUCACUGGGUGUAAAGGGUGCGCAGGCGGAUUUGUAAGUCAGAGGUGAAAUCUCACGGCUUAACCGUGAAACUGCCUUUGAUACUGCAGAUCUUGAGUUUGGGAGAGGUUGAUGGAAUUCCAGGUGUAGCGGUGAAAUGCGUAGAUAUCUGGAAGAACACCAGUGGCGAAGGCGGUCAACUGGCCCAUAACUGACGCUCAGGCACGAAAGCGUGGGUAGCAAACAGGAUUAGAUACCCUUGUAGUCC
rnacentral:rRNA from 1 species